rnacentral:rRNA from 1 species
AUUGAACGCUGGCGGAAUGCUUUACACAUGCAAGUCGAACGGUAGAGGGGCAACCCUUGAGAGUGGCGAACGGGUGAGUGAUGUAUCGGAACAUGCCCAGUCGUGGGGGAUAACGUAGCGAAAGUUACGCUAAUACCGCAUACGAUCUAUGGAUGAGAGCGGGGGAUCGCAAGACCUCGCGCGAUUGGAGUGGCCGAUAUCAGAUUAGGUAGUUGGUGGGGUAAAGGCCUACCAAGCCGACGAUCUGUAGCUGGUCUGAGAGGACGACCAGCCAAACUGGGACUGAGACACGGCCCAGACUCCUACGGGAGGCAGCAGUGGGGAAUUUUGGACAAUGGGCGCAAGCCUGAUCCAGCCAUUCCGCGUGCAGGAAGAAGGCCUUCGGGUUGUAAACUGCUUUUGUACGGAACGAAACGCGCUGAGCUAAUACCUCGGCGUAAUGACGGUACCGUAAGAAUAAGCACCGGCUAACUACGUGCCAGCCGCCGCCGUAA